rnacentral:rRNA from 1 species
UGGGGAAUAUUGCGCAAUGGACGAAAGUCUGACGCAGCGACGCCGCGUGUGGGAUGACGGUCUUCGGAUUGUAAACCACUGUCGGGAGGGACGAAUACGCCGCAGGGCGGGUGACGGUACCUCCAAAGGAAGCACCGGCUAACUCCGUGCCAGCAGCCGCGGUAAUACGGAGGGUGCGAGCGUUGUCCGGAAUCACUGGGCGUAAAGGGCGCGUAGGCGGCCUGAUAAGUAGGGGGUGAAAUCCUGCGGCUUAACCGCAGGGCUGCCUUCUAAACUGUCAGGCUCGAGCACAGUAGAGGCAGGUGGAAUUCCCGGUGUAGCGGUGGAAUGCGUAGAGAUCGGGAAGAACAUCAGUGGCGAAGGCGGCCUGCUGGGCUGUUGCUGACGCUGAGGCGCGACAGCGUGGGGAGCAAACAGGAUUAGAUACCCUGGUAGUCCACGCCGUAAACGAUGGACACUAGGCGUCGGGGGGAGCGACCCUCCCGGUGCCGUCGCUAACGCAGUAAGUGUCCCGCCUGGGGAGUACGGCCGCAAGGCUGA